rnacentral:lncRNA from 1 species
ACCCAUAUGUGCUGGCUGUACGUUCAGAUAAGCCCUGAGUAAACAACAAAGGGGAAUGUCCCAUACCCUCUCAUUAAUAAAAAGGCGUAAGACAAGCACCAAUUGGGAGGCUGGUCACGUGUUGCAUGCCUGCCAAGAGACCAUUCAGAUGAGGGAAGGGAGGAGAUAGGGAUCCAGACAAGAAAGGACUGUGCCAAAAAGAAGGGUUUCCAGGAAGCAGAAGUGGUCUUGGAGAGAAAACAGGGGUCUCAAAAAGGAAACAGUGAAGAUCCUGGCUGGAAGGAAGAUCCUGGAAGAGAAGGAGAUGGGUGGAGACCAGUGCCAGCAGACCUUGCCCCAGGACUGCUACCUGGAGCAGCUGCCCACUGCCAGCUAACACAGCUCCCUGCUGGAUUUCCCCAGGCCAGCAGCAACCUCCCUGCUGGGAAGAUGAAGUAGAUGAGUGAGAAGAUGCUGCAGAUCUGGGUCCAGAUGAAUGCUGAGAUGCAAGUUCAACAGAUCGAGACUCACGGGGAGACUUCCUGCUAGGAAGUUCUUCCUGAAUGCUUGAAUUACUGCUGCUUGCAACACUAAAAAGAAACAGACUGACAGUGAUUAACUGGGGACUUUCAACUCCUUUGUUACAUUGCGUACAAGAAGUUUGCAAGAAAGGACUAAAACCACACCAAACAGCUCAUCUUGAAAAACGCCAAUUCUGAAAUUAAAAACUUCAACAGCUAAGACAUUGCACAGUCCUAAUUUGAAGUAGUGGAAGCAUUUUAACACUUUCAAAUCUUAUUUCCUUCAUAACUUUUACAAGCACUAACCAAUUAAGCAUUCUAACAGCCACACAAGAGCUAAUUUUCACUCAGCUACGAAGGGUAAGCUACCUGCCAGACCAAGGCAGAACAGAAACCAGGCAAAAAUUGGGAAUAUUCCACUCUAACCUUUGCAUCUAAAAGUCAGGUUGCUUACCACAUUAACUGCAAGAUCAUAAAGAAAUAUCUGACCGCUUUCAGUAGCAUUACACUACAGCAUACCAGGAAAGAUGUGCAGUGUAUUGUAAAACAAAAUUUGCAUCAGCCACAUUGUCUCAAAUGUGCAUUUUGAUUUUUCUAGGAAGACAAACACAGUUACCUGAGGUCACGUGCAAGCUUUUUGUCUGUUAAAGUGCUGCUCCCUGGUGAGGAGGCAAAGUCAUCUUCAUAAGAAACAACGCUCUCUGGAGGGCUCAGGGUAGGGAGCAAAGGGCGCAGAAGGGAAGAUCCUCCAUUUGAUCUUCCAUCAAACACUAGAGACAAAAAUAAUUCUCAAUACAACGUGCAUCAAGUGAGUAAAUAAAGCUGCAGAGGUCAAAAUGCUUCUAACCACAAUGAGCUCAAAAUGUUUCCUUUUGAAUACAAUAAACAUCAGGAGAUAAACAGUACAGGUAUCUCACAGCAGUUUUAACACAAAACAGGCUCUUUCCAUAAAUUACUGAAUACUUCAUUAACAAACUCCAGCCAAAACCCUUUUGAAGAACAUACUCCUUGAGAGUCAUCAGCAGCAAGUCUCAACGCAGUCAUGUUUAAAGCUAAGGGACAUUUAAAAAAAACUCAGAUAAAAACAAACUUCUCAAAAAAGGCUCAAAAAUGAAGAUCUGAGUGAAAAGGAAAGAGGACAAACACACCCAUAAACUUCCCUCAAAAGUGGGGAUUUUUUUCCUUGUGCAAUUAGGCAGGGGGGGAAAAAAAAGGGAAGAAAGGGAGGGAAUCAUUUAUCCUCCAAAAGUUAAAGGAAAACAUUACACAGAUUAAUGUUUGCUAUAUCUCAAAGCAAUACAUCUUGACGCACGCCCCUUCUUUGUGAACUAUCAAAUAAAAGGAAUAAUAAAAUCGAAAAGUUUUUCAAAAGGC